rnacentral:rRNA from 1 species
GAUGAACGCUAGCUACAGGCUUAACACAUGCAAGUCGAGGGGUAACGAGAGGAAAGCUUGCUUUCCUUGUCGACGACCGGCGCACGGGUGAGUAACGCGUAUCCAACCUGCCCCCAACUAGGGAAUAACCUUGCGAAAGUAAGACUAAUACCCUAUAAUUUCCUCAGAUGUCAUCUGACGAGGAAUAAAGAUUUAUCGGUUGUGGAUGGGGAUGCGUCUGAUUAGCUUGUUGGCGGGGUAACGGCCCACCAAGGCAACGAUCAGUAGGGGUUCUGAGAGGAAGGUCCCCCAGAUUGGAACUGAGACACGGUCCAAACUCCUACGGGAGGCAGCAGUGAGGAAUAUUGGACAAUGGGCGGAAGCCUGAACCAGCCAAGUAGCGUGCAGGAUGACGGCCCUAUGGGUUGUAAACUGCUUUUAUACAGGAAUAAAGUUAGCCACGUGUGGUUAUUUGUAGGUACUGUAUGAAUAAGGACCGGCUAAUUCCGUGCCAGCAGCCGCAGUAA